CUCUCUUAGCGGUGGAUCACUCGGCUCGUGCGUCGAUGAAGAACGCAGCUAGCUGCGAGAAUUAAUGUGAAUUGCAGGACACAUUCAUCAUUAUUUUUUUUUUUUAUAUUUGGACCAAUGAAA
rnacentral:rRNA from 1 species